GAUAAUGGAAACAGCUUGUCAAGGUUAGGUAAGGAAAGGAUAGAUCUACUCCCGACCUCCCCUUCUCUUUGGCCAAACCCAAAAACUGGGUACAGCAAUUUCCUACCCUUUUUUUUUUUUUUUAGCUCUAGAAUUCGAUUCUUGCCCAGAAUUCUUGCAUCUUUUUACCCAUUGAGAGCUACCUAAUUGUUUACCCAGACAAUUUCUCCACCAAAUUGAUUAACAAAAGGUGAAAGACGAUGGAGGAGAGGCUCCAAUCCAGGGUUACUACGAUACUUAGCCAUACUUGUCACCGUCGACGCCUACCGGAGCUUCCACCCAAGACAUGCAUCCUCUCAGAACGCCGAUACUUCUGGUAAAGGCCUUUUUAUACUAGAAGAUGUAAUCAUGAGAACCUAUAUGUAGACUAGCCACCUCCUGUUUAGCUCAGUCAGUUAGAUAAACAUUGGGAGCAGCUUAUUGCCAGCUCCUGCUUAGAAAAAACAUCUGAAGGUUAUCCCAAACUGCCAGCUCCUGCUUAGAAAAAACAUCUGAAGGUUAUCCCAAACUGCCAGCUCCUGCUUUGAGCUUGUUGCCCAAGUUUUAAGCUGCUCUAAGAGCAGCCACUUGCUGCACACACUUAAUUUUAUGUCUGCAGGUUCUUAAUUGUGGUUAGAAGUGUGUACACAUGUGUUUCCAAUAAGCUACUAGGUUUUAAAAGCACUUCCAGCUAAAGAAAAAAAUCAAGAAGAAGGAGCAUAAUAAGCUAAGCAUUUGCUGGAAAUUUUGGUACAUUUGCAAGAAGUAAUGGCAGCAAAUCAAGGAAACUAUAAGUACAAAACAUAAAUAAGAAAUUGAUGUAAUGUGACAUUUGGAAACAUGUAUUAAUGUGAAUAUUGUAAAUAUAGUACUUGUAGCUAUCUAUGUAACAUUAUCAAGCACAAUCUGUACUAUUUUUCUUUUCUUUUCUUUUUCUUUUUGACAAAGAAUGUAAACAGGUAAAUGUUUGCUUUUGUUUGUAAGAAACACUUGUGUUCUACUCUUG